GGGAAAUUGGGAAGAUGGGAACUUGAACCUCUUCCGGAGUAUCUCUCUGGAGGGCAAGUCUGGUGCCAGCAGCCGCGGUAAUUCCAGCUCCAAUAGCGUAUAUUAAAAUUGUUGCAGUUAAAAAGCUCGUAGUUGAAUUUCUGCUGUAUUGCAUUUUCUCUUUUUAUAUGAGUUUUUGCAUUAUGGCUUAUUUCAGUAUUAAUUUUUUAUUAUUACUGAAUGUUUACUUUGAGAAAAUUAGAGUGCUCAAAGCAGGCUUUUGCCUUGAAUAGUUUAGCAUGGAAUAAUAAAGUAGGACUUUGGUUCUAUUUUGUUGGUUUUAGGUACCAAAGUAAUGGUUAAUAGGAACAGUUGGGGGCAUUCGUAUUUAACUGUCAGAAGGUGAAAUUCUUAGAC
rnacentral:rRNA from 1 species